UGGGUUGUAGCUCAGUGGUAGAGUGCUUGCCUUGCAUUUGUGAGCACCAGAGUGCUUGCCUAGCACGAGUGAUGUACUGGGUUUGAUCCUCAGCACCACAU
rnacentral:tRNA from 1 species